UACAGAGGUCUCAAGCGUUGUUCGGAUUCAUUGGGCGUAAAGGGUGCGUAGGCGGCGCGGUAAGUCGGGUGUGAAAGUCUCGGAGCUUAACUCCGAAACUGCAUUCGAUACUGCCGUGCUUGAGGACUGGAGAGGAGACUGGAAUUUACGGUGUAGCGGUGAAAUGCGUAGAUAAUCGUAAGGAAGACCAGUGGCGAAGGCGGGUCGUCUG
rnacentral:rRNA from 1 species